CUAGGAAUAAUGGAAUAGGACCGCGGUUCUA
rnacentral:piRNA from 2 species